rnacentral:pre_miRNA from 1 species
UCUUAUGGAUGAGCAAAGAAAGUGGUUUCUUGAGAUAGAAUUUAUUCCUGGUGAAGGUGUCGUGAA